UACGUAGGGGGCAAGCGUUGUCCGGAUUUAUUGGGCGUAAAGAGCGUGUAGGCGGCCAUGUAGGUCCGUUGUGAAAACUCGAGGCUCAACCUCGAGACGCCGAUGGAAACCAUGUGGCUAGAGUCCGGAAGAGGAGAGUGGAAUUCCCGGUGUAGCGGUGAAAUGCGCAGAUAUCGGGAAGAACACCCGUGGCGAAGGCGGCUCUCUGGGACGGUACCGACGCUGAGACGCGAAAGCGUGGGGAGCAAACAGG
rnacentral:rRNA from 1 species